GAUGAACGCUGGCGGCGUGCCUAAUACAUGCAAGUCGAACGGGGAGUAGCAAUACUCUUAGUGGCGAACGGGUGAGUAACGCGUUGGUACCUGCCCCGAAGCGGGGGAUAACGGACCGAAAGGUCCGCUAAUACCCCAUGUGCUCGGUAACGAGUAAAGGUGAAAACCACUUUGGGAGGGGCCUGCGUCCCAUCAGCUAGUUGGUAAGGUAACGGCUUACCAAGGCGAUGACGGGUAGGGGACCUGAGAGGGUGGCCCCCCACAAUGGAACUGAAACACGGUCCAUACACCUACGGGUGGCGGCAGUAGGGAAUAUUGGUAAUGGGCGCAAGCCUGAACCAGCAACGCCGCGUGUGCGAUGACGGCCUUCGGGUUGUAAAGCACUUUUGACUGGGACGAGGAAGGACGGUACCGGUCGAAUCAGCCUCGGCUAACUACGUG
rnacentral:rRNA from 1 species